UUCAAUUGGAGGCCAGCCACGUGAUGACAUCAAAGAUAUUGUUGAAAAGUGUGUCAAUUCAGCAAAGUUGUUGAGAAGCAAUGGAUCAACUCGUUCACCAAAAUGGACUAAGGUUUUGUGUGUUCAACAAGUUGGAAGUACGACAUGUGGAUAUUAUGUGAUGAAAUACAUGCUUGAAAUUCUUUCCAAAGAAGCAUGUGCGGGAAUGGAUA